rnacentral:piRNA from 1 species
UGCAAUGAGGCCUGGGCUCAGUGGUGU